rnacentral:tRNA from 1 species
GCGCCCUUAACUCAGCCGGCAGAGUAACCGCCUUUUAAGCGGUAAGCCGCGGGUUCGAGCCCCGCAGGGCGCACCA